ACUCCUACGGGAGGCAGCAGUGGGGAAUAUUGCACAAUGGGCGCAAGCCUGAUGCAGCCAUGCCGCGUGUGUGAAGAAGGCCUCGGUUGUAAAGCACUUUCAGUCGUGAGGAAGGUAAUGUAGUUAAUAGCUGCAUUAUUUGUACGUUAGCGACAGAAGAAGCACCGGCUAACUCCGUGCCAGCAGCCGCGGUAAUACGGAGGGUGCGAGCGUUAAUCGGAAUUACUGGGCGUAAAGCGCAUGCAGGUGGUUUGUUAAGUCAGAUGUGAAAGCCCGGGGCUCAACCUCGGAAUUGCAUUUGAAACUGGCAGACUAGAGUACUGUAGAGGGGGUAGAAUUUCAGGUGUAGCGGUGAAAUGCGUAGAGAUCUGAAGGAAUACCGGUGGCGAAGGCGGCCCCCUGGACAGAUACUGACACUCAGAUGCGAAAGCGUGGGGAGCAAACAGGAUUAGAUACCCUGGUAGGAUAGCG
rnacentral:rRNA from 1 species